ensembl:snRNA U6 U6 spliceosomal RNA
CUGCUUGUUUCAGCAGCACAUAUACUAAAAUUGGAAUGAGACAGAGAAGAUUAGCAUGGCCCCCACGCAAGGAUGACAUGAAAAUUUGUCAAGUGUUGCAUAUUUUU